rnacentral:lncRNA from 1 species
GCACUAACAGAAACGCUGACAUAGUCCAUGCCGAAAAACUUUUAUCAAAGUCAGUUUUAUUUCGUACUAACUGGAGUGAAAGAACUCAUAGUUGAGUUACCAUUCCAUUACUCACUUAGUUUGUGACAUUUCUGCACACCAAGAAUACAUAUACUCAAGGAAUGGUCCCAUGUCACCAAACAAGUUUAAAUGAAUGUUUUCCUUCCACUUUUACAACUCCUCUUAGUUCAGUAAUUCCGUUCUUAUCCUCCAAUUCCACUCUCAUCUCAAUUUUUUCUUUCACCUCACCCUCUUCUCCUCCUUCUUUUCCUCCUCAUACCGCUCACCUUUCCUUCUGCCUCAUCAAGUUUCUCUCUCUCCAACUACAUACAGUGCACGUAGGAAUCUCACGUGGUCUUGCGUUCUUCAUGAGUUGCAAUCAGUUUUUCUAACAUGUAAAACUCUGUUGUCUUUCAUUUCACUCCUGUCGACUUUUACCUGGAAAAAGAGCUGGAUUUUUCACUUUUGACGGCAAGUUCACUAGCCAAAACUCAUGUUCACCUUGGUAAACUGUAGGCAGCAACUGAACACCGGAACCGGAAGUUAGCAAGCUACUUACCACACAGCCACUCCUGCACCUACUAAUACUGUUGUAAAAUAUUUAUGUAAUAUCAGUGACUAGUAGUCACUUUGAAAACUAUAUAUUUCGAACGGGAACUCGACAGCGCCACAUCUACCCGAACAACUU